rnacentral:misc_RNA from 1 species
CUGAAUGUUACCAAACAUAAACCCUUGUGAACCUUCUGUAUUUCUGCCUUGGCAGGUAAUCCCAGGGCGGGAUUCUGGGCCUCUUCGGGGGCACCUGCCAGUGGUGGAGCAUUUUCAAACUCUGAAUUAUAGUGGACUUCUGAGUGUCUUCCAAAAUAAGUUA